CAUGGCCCUGGGCGAAGCCUGAUGCAGCAACUGCCGCGUGUGUGAAGGAGGCCUGCGGGUUGUAAAGCACUCUCGGUAGGGAAGAUUAUGACGGUACCUACAGAAGAAGCACCGGCUAACUCCGUGCCAGCAGCCGCGGUAAUACGGAGGGUGCAAGCGUUAAUCGGAAUCACUGGGCGUAAAGCGCGCGUAGGCGGUCUUGUAAGACGGAUGUGAAAGCCCCGGGCUUAACCUGGGAACUGCAUUCGAUACUGCUUGACUAGAGUAUGGUAGAGGGUAGCGGAAUCCCGGGUGUAGCGGUGAAAUGCGUAGAUAUCCGGAGGAACACCAGUGGCGAAGGCGGCUACCUGGACCAAUACUGACGCUGAGGUGCGAAA
rnacentral:rRNA from 1 species